UAAACUAAGAUUCGUUCAACGUGAAUCAAGGAGUGGGGGUUGUGCGUUUGAUGUACAUUCUACCGGUUUAUGAUGAACCCAUCUCAUUGACAGAGAUUUAGACCCACUUCAGACUUGGAUGGGCAUGCAUGUUUUUAUUUUGAUCGAGGUCAUCUAGCGAAGUACUGCUACGGUUAUGUUAUUUGUUUUUUAUUAGUGUGUAUUCGGCUUGUCCAUGCAGUGUAGGAAUCCAUUUGCCACUCGUUGAUAACGGUAUA
rnacentral:lncRNA from 1 species